rnacentral:rRNA from 1 species
GACGAACGCUGGCGGCGUGCUUAACACAUGCAAGUCAAGGGGGCCCGCAAGGGUAACCGGCGAACGGGUGCGUAACACGUGAGCAAUCUGCCUCGAUGUGGGGGAUAGCCGGCCCAACGGCCGGGUAAUACCGCAUACGCUCUCUGGGUGGCAUCACUUGGAGAGGAAACAUUUUUGGCAUUGAGAGGAGCUCGCGGCCUAUCAGCUAGUUGGUGGGGUAAUGGCCUACCAAGGCUUUGACGGGUAGCUGGUCUGAGAGGAUGGCCAGCCACAUUGGGACUGAGAUACGGCCCAGACUCCUACGGGAGGCAGCAGUGGGGAAUAUUGCGCAAUGGCCGAAAGGCUGACGCAGCGACGCCGCGUGGGGGAUGAAGCAUUUCGGUGUGUAAACCCCUGUUGCCCGGGACGAACAACUGGUUUUGACCAGUCUGACGGUACCGGGUGAGGAAGCACCGGCUAACUCCGUGCCAGCAGCCGCGGUAAU